rnacentral:rRNA from 1 species
AUUGAACGCUGGCGGCGUGCCUAACACAUGCAAGUCGAGCGGUAACAGGUGUAGCAAUACAUGCUGACGAGCGGCGAACGGGUGAGUAAUGCUUCGGAAUCUACCCAGUAGUGGGGAAUAACUAACCGAAAGGUUAGCUAAUACCGCAUACGUCCUACGGGAGAAAGCGGGGGUCGCAAGACCUCGCGCUAUUGGAUGAGCCGAAGUCGGAUUAGCUAGUUGGUGAGGUAACGGCUCACCAAGGCGACGAUCCGUAGCUGGUCUGAGAGG